rnacentral:rRNA from 1 species
GGAAACAGGCUAUGACCAUGAUUACGCCAAGCUUGGUACCGAGCUCGGAUCCACUAGUAACGGCCGCCAGUGUGCUGGAAUUCGCCCUUCAGGCCUAACACAUGCAAGUCGAACGAUCCCUUCGGGGAUAGUGGCGCACGGGUGCGUAACGCGUGGGAACCUGCCCUUAGGUUCGGAAUAACAGUUAGAAAUGACUGCUAAUACCGGAUAAUGUCUUCGGACCAAAGAUUUAUCGCCUUUGGAUGGGCCCGCGUUGGAUUAGCUAGUUGGUGGGGUAAAGGCCUACCAAGGCGACGAUCCAUAGCUGGUCUGAGAGGAUGAUCAGCCACACUGGGACUGAGACACGGCCCAGACUCCUACGGGAGGCAGCAGUGGGGAAUAUUGGACAAUGGGCGAAAGCCUGAUCCAGCAAUGCCGCGUGAGUGAUGAAGGCCUUAGGGUUGUAAAGCUC